rnacentral:rRNA from 1 species
AGUUCGAUUAUGGCUCAGAUUGAACGCUGGCGGGAUGCUUUACCGCUGCAAGUCGAACGGCAGCACGGACUCGGUCUGGUGGCGAGUGGCGAACGGGUGAGUAAUGUAUCGGGCAGUGCCUAGUAGCGGGGGAUAACUACGCGAAAGCGUAGCUAAUACCGCAUGCGCCCUUCGAGGAAAGCGGGGACCUUCGGGCCACUCGCACUAAUAGAGCGGCCGAUAUCGGAUUAGCUGGUUGGUGGGAGUAACGGCUCACCAAGGCGACGAUCAAUAGCUGGUUUGAGGGAUUUGACCAUACACUGGGAGGCUGAGACACGGCCCAGACUCCUACGGGAAGCAUUGAAAUUUUGGACAGUAAGGGAAGCCUGAUCAUGGCCAUCCCGCGUGUGCGAUGAGGCCUUCCGGGUUGUAAAGCACUUUUGGCAGGAAAAAAGAAACGGCACGGGAUAAUACCCCGUGCAACUGGCGUACCUGCAGAAUAAGCACCAACUACGUGCCAGCAGCCAUGAUAGCUGGCGGGUGCAAGCGUUAAUCGGAAUACUGGGCGUAAAAACUGCGCAGGCGGUUCGGAAGAGAAUUGUGAAAUCCCAGAGCUUAACUUUUGGAACUGCAUUUUUAUGCGAGCUAGAGUGUGUGGAGAGGAGGUGGAAUUUCACGUGUAGCAGUGAAAUGCGUAGAUAUGCGGAGGAACACCGAUGGCGAAGGCAGCCUCCUGGGAUAACACUGACGCUCAUGCACGAAAGCGUGAGGGCAAACAGGAUUAGAUACCCUGGUAGUCCACGCCCUAAACGAUGUCAACUAGCUGUUGGGGCCUUCGGGCCUUGGUAGCGCAGCUAACAUGAGUUGACCGCCUGGGGAAGUACGGUCACAAGAUUCGGCACCAAAGGAAUUGACGGGGAUUCCCGCACAAGCGGUGGAUGAUCAUGGAUUAAUUCGAUGCAACGCGAAAAACCUUACCUACCCUUGACUUCCUUGGAAUCCCGAAGAGAUUUGGGAGUGCUCGCAAAGAGAACCGGAACACAGGUGCUGCGCGGCUGUCGUCAGCUCGUGUGUCGUGAGAUGUUGGGUUAAGUCCCGCAACGAAGCGCAGCCCUUGUCAUUAGUUGCUACGAAAGGGCACUCUAAUGAGACUGCCAGUGACAAACCGGAGGAAGGUGGGGAUGACGUCAAGUCCUCAUGGCCCUUAUGGGUGGGAUUACACGUCAUACAAUGGUCGGGACAGAGGGUCGCCAACCCGCGAGAGGCCAAUCCCAAGAAACCCGAUCGUAGUCCGGAUCGCAGUCUGCAACUCGACUGCGUGAAGUCGGAAUCGCUAGUAAUCAUGGAUCAGCAUGUCGCGGUGAAUACGUUCGGGUCUUGCUUACCCACCGCCCGUCACACCAUGGGAGUGGGUUUUACCAGAAGUAGUUAGCCUAACCGUAAGGAGGCGGUUACCGGUAAGGAUUCUGACUGGGGUGAAGUCGUAACAGGGUAA